rnacentral:rRNA from 1 species
UACGUAGGGGGCUAGCGUUGUCCGGAAUUAUUGGGCGUAAAGGGCUCGUAGGCGGUCUGUUGCGUCGGGAGUGAAAACUCAGGGCUUAACCCUGAGCCUGCUUCCGAUACGGGCAGACUAGAGGUAUGCAGGGGAGAACGGAAUUCCUGGUGUAGCGGUGAAAUGCGCAGAUAUCAGGAGGAACACCGGUGGCGAAGGCGGUUCUCUGGGCAUUACCUGACGCUGAGGAGCGAAAGUGUGGGGAGCGAACAGG